CCUAGAGCCUCUUUCUUCACCAAAUCCUGAAUUCCAUGGUAACCUGGGGACUAGGAGACACAAGUAGGGGGCAUUCAUGGGAAGCAGUUGAACCAGCCCAGGAGAAUCCUUCUCUGCAAUCAGGCAUGGCUGGCGAUAAUGGAGACAGGGUGGAAACCACCCUGAGUGAGCCAAGCUGAGUGAGCAGUGCAGAGAGUCAGAACAGGAACGCAGGGAAGGGCUGGCCUGUCCCCAAAUGGAGCUGCGAUUCAGAGCUGAUGAGCAGUCAGCCUGAGUCACAGAGCACAGCUGUGUUCCCAAGGAUUCCCCUAGAAUGCAAGAAAUGUUUAGGUCCCAUCUCAGAUUUCCCAAGUCAGGAUUUCCUGGGGAAGAACAGUGGCAACAACGCUUUUCAAAACAUCCCUGAAAAGUUCUAAUGUGUAGGCUGAGUUGGGGAGCCUACUUCGUGGAGAUUUUGAGCUUCUUGCAAGCAGAAAAAAUAUCAGAAUCAUCUGCCUCACAAGUGUCUGGCACAGUGCUUGUCACAUAAAGAUGGCCCACAAAACUUCAAUGACAGAAGAGGGAAAGGAAAGAAGUCUGACAGAUAUCUAACUAUAUCCAAGAAAGACAUGAAAAUUCAUUGAUUUAUAAAUUUGCAUAUAAAAUGUAAAGAAAGAAAAGUAAUAUCCUAUAUCAGAGAUGGCUCUUUGUUUUAGACCUCAUAGAAUUUCAGGCUGCCUUAAAGAUUAUCCUUCCUUAAAGAGAAGAAAGAAAGGAACAGAAAGUUAACGUUAUUCUUUUCGAAUCUACACAAUUAAAGGGUGAAAAAAAUAAGCCUAAAAUGUACAUCCCCAAAUCCAAUGCACUUUCUAUUAUCCUAUAUAUUUACUUUCUCAAAAAUUAAUUUCUCAAUUAUUUAAUUACAAAAAAGAAAGGUUGAAUGCUUAUUUGUUAGGAUUGUUGCAGGUGUUCAAGGAACAAAACAAUUGUAGUACCUGUUCGCAUGGUAUAGACAGACAAUAAACCAACAUAAAUAAUAAAAUGUCAAGUAACUACUAAGAAGAAAAAUAAAGCAAUAUAAAAAUAUAGCUAAUGACUGAGAAGGAGUGCAAUUUUCAGAAGUGCUAGUAAUAAAAGAUUUAUCUGAGGAGAUGAGAUUUGAAUAGAAAACUAAAUUAUGUUUUGAGUUAUUUAAGGAGCACACCGUGAAAGAUGUAACAAGGGGAAGUAAGAAUGAAGGCCCUGAGAUGUGAAUGAUCUUGGUGUGAUCACAGAGUCAUGAAGAAUAGAAAUGAGAACAUAAUGCAAGUGAUUCUGGAACGUGUCAGAUCAUGGAAAGUGUUGGAGACCACUGUAGAGAUUUAGAUACUACACGAAUAUUACAGGUGUUGGAGUAGGAAUUAACUCUGUUAAGAUCAACCUAGGUGUUAGCGGAUUGGAUUGUAAGGGGGCAAGAGAAGGAGUACAGAGACCUGCUAGGAGGCUAUUGCAAGAGUCCAUCUUAGAGAUCAAUUAAUGGGUCAGGAUGGAGAGCUGAGUGCUGGAAAGCAGCCAGAUGUGUGAUGCAUUUUGAAGGUGGAGAUGAGUGACUCUUCUUAGCCUACUUGAAUGGAGGCUGUAGGAAAGGAGAGGAUAAAGAAGAAUUGUUAGGGAUUUACCAGAGAAGCCAAAUGAAGUGGGUGCCAUAUGCUGAGAUGAGGAAGCCCAAAGGAAUAACAGGUUAGGAAUGGAAGGAAAUCAGGAAUUCCACUGGGACAUGUACAGGUUGAGAUGUUUUUUGGACUUUUAAUGUAUAGAUCAUCGUGCCUCUUAUUUCUAUUGCUGCUGAGAGCAGUUCAGUUCUGCGGGUGUUUUUAAAAAUUCACUCCAUGUUAUUGGCCAAUUGACCAGAUAGAUCAAAAACUCAGAAGAGACAAAGCUCAUUUUCCAGAAACACUCUCAACCAGCCAGGUAAACAAUACACAUUCAAAGCCAAGUACCAAAUCAAUGUUUAUGAAUUAGCUAAACCUCAGAUAAUGUCAAUGUAACGCCACAAUAAAAAACACAUCUUAAUAUUUGCCUCUGCUUUCCCUUAAACUGUAUUCAUAAGGAUAUUUCCCUACCCCUAAAUGAAGAUUCAGGCAAGUUCAAAACUUUUCUGGUUAAUCUUAGAUAGUACUUCAGACAAAUUUUAGUCAUACAAACAAUCUCUAUUUAGAAAAUAAAAUGUUCAGAUGCAUGCAAUGAUCACAAUUCUGAACUUAGCUUGAAAUUUCUUAGCUCAGAUCUUCUGUGGUUACUUUUUUGCUCAGCACCAAGGACCAACCAGAGGAAAGAGGAGGAGCUGUAAGGAAAUGUAG
rnacentral:lncRNA from 10 species